GCUUGCUUUGGCAGUAAUAUACAAAAAUUGGAAUGAUACAGAUAAGAUGAGCAUGGUCCCUGCACAAGGAUGACCCACAAAUUCGUGAAGCAUUCUGUAUUUUU
ensembl:snRNA U6 U6 spliceosomal RNA